UACGAAGGGGGCUAGCGUUGCUCGGAAUCACUGGGCGUAAAGCGCACGUAGGCGGAUUGCUAAGUCAGGGGUGAAAUCCUGGAGCUCAACUCCAGAACUGCCUUUGAUACUGGCGAUCUUGAGUCCGGGAGAGGUGAGUGGAACUGCGAGUGUAGAGGUGAAAUUCGUAGAUAUUCGCAAGAACACCAGUAGCGAAGGCGGCUCACUGGCCCGGUACUGACGCUGAGGUGCGAAAGCGUGGGGAGCAAACAGG
rnacentral:rRNA from 1 species